rnacentral:rRNA from 1 species
UACGGAGGGGGCUAGCGUUGUUCGGAAUUACUGGGCGUAAAGCGCACGCAGGCGGCUUUGUAAGUUAGAGGUGAAAGCCCAGAGCUCAACUCUGGAAUUGCCUUUAAGACUGCAUCGCUUGAACAUCGGAGAGGUGAGUGGAAUUCCGAGUGUAGAGGUGAAAUUCGUAGAUAUUCGGAAGAACACCAGUGGCGAAGGCGACUCACUGGACGAUUGUUGACACUGAGGCACGAAAGCGUGGGGAGCGAACGGG